rnacentral:rRNA from 1 species
UACAGAGGUCUCAAGCGUUGUUCGGAUUCAUUGGGCGUAAAGGGUGCGUAGGCGGCGCGGUAAGUCGGGUGUGAAAGCCCGGAGCUCAACUCCGGAACUGCCUUUAAAACUGCAUCGCCUGAAUCCAGGAGAGGUGAGUGGAAUUCCGAGUGUAGAGGUGAAAUUCGUAGAUAUUCGGAAGAACACCAGUGGCGAAGGCGGCUCACUGGACUGGUAUUGACGCUGAGGUGCGAAAGCGUGGGGAGCAAACAGG